rnacentral:rRNA from 1 species
CGUGGGCAACCUGCCCUGAAGCGGGGGACAACAGCUUGAAAGAGCUGCUAAUACCGCAUGUGAACGGGAGUGGCAUCACUCUUUGUUCAAAGGACUUCGGUUCACUUCAGGAUGGGCCCGCGGCCUAUCAGCUAGUUGGUGAGGUAACGGCCCACCAAGGCUUCGACGGGUAGCUGGUCUGAGAGGACGAUCAGCCGGAUUGGGACUGAGAUAUGGCCCAG